rnacentral:rRNA from 1 species
CACCAGCGCCCCGAGUGGGGAUCGCGAUUAUUGGGCCUAAAGCGUUCGUAGCAGGUUCUGUAAAUCCUUUGUGAAAUGGGCAGGCUUAACCUGUCCACGUGCAGAGGAGACUGCAGGACUCGAGAUCGGGAGAGGUCAGAAGUAUUCUUUGGGUACCGGUAAAAUGGGUUAAUCCAGAGAGGACUACCAAUGGCGAAGGCAUCUGACUAGAACGAUUCUGACUGUGAGGAACGAAAGCUAGGGGA